UCUGGCGCCGAAUGUGGGGCAAUUUCGGAGAAAUUCAGCGAUAAUACAUGAAAAUAUCGGUCGAUUAUCACGAAUGCAAUUUGUUAUAAUUGCAAAAAAAUUGUUUGUAUUUUGCUAACGUAACGGACUUAUCAUUUCGGAAAACUGAGGAAAAGUGGUGGUUAGUGAGAAGGCUUCUUCGGAUCUGGUCGGUGGUGUUAUUGAUUGAUUUUCAAUUCAGUGGUGAAAAAAUCUAAAUUGGUUCUAAUAAAAGACUUAAAAUUGGAUGGUUAAAAAUCAACAAACAUCAAGUCAUAUUCUAAAAAUAAGUUGGAAGUCGUCAAAUAUAUCAGUUUAUCAGAAUGAAUAAUUAUUGGUACAUAUUUAAUAGUCUUGACAGUCAUGCUUAACCAUUUUGAUUAAGACCAUCCUUGAUCUGAUUCUCAUUAUUACGUCAAUGAUUUGUUCCGAAGAGCACAGCUUACGAUACUUCAUUCGCUUAAAUUGAUUUGUUUUAUAAUUUCGUCCUCACAAGCCACGUGACAACUCCACCGGAAAUAUUUUCAAUAAAUAACCGAUUUUAGUGCGUCUUCAUAUCUGGAUAUGAAGCAUAAACACUACGCAUUCUAUUUUGUUUUGGGGUUAAUACUAGUCGACGCCGCCCCUCCCCACAAUGCCCUUAUGCCGGCUUGUUUGGGGCAAGGGUGCGACAUGGAUUCUGGACCUGUGUGUGGCAUAGACGACUCGGGACUCCCCCGAACCUUCGAAAAUCGCUGUAUGGCGGAACUGGCCUACUGCCAAUACGGCACUUAUUUUGCUGAAGUCAAACCGGGGGAGUGCUGACGACAUGGUAUACCCAGCUCAUUUUACGUAUUUAAACUUAGGCUCUUAUUAUUUCAGUAUUGUUGUUGAAAAUUAUAGUAUACGAUUUUAUCCUAGUGUAGAUUUUUUAUAGGAAAUAGCAACUAUUAUGAAUUGAAUUUGUUUAAUUUAUUGACUGAGUCUCAAAUUGAUGUGUUUUGGCGACUUUACAUUAGAAAAAUGUUACAUUGCACCUGAUUGUUAUGCAACUCUCAAUUUACAAUAAAACAUAAAUCAGAACGCGUUUUUUUCUCAAAUCGCUCGCAAAUUUUCCCGGACUUAGUCAUUACUCAAAUUUUGAUUGCAUAAUAUAUUACAAAUUAUUAUGAAAUGUAAAAAAGUACGCGUAUAUCGCUUUGGAGAAUAAACCUCACAUUUGUGAUAAAAAAUUCAGCUUUAGUGCCCUGUCAAACAAAUAACUAUUCUUCAAUAAAAAACGUGAAUUAGUAAUAACCUGUGGUAAGAGUAAAAACCGACAACACACAACUAACUUGUUUCUAUAAUGAAUGGUCAGGGAGACCCUGACAUUGCCAAAUUACAGUUAUAGUAAAUCAAUAACGGGUAAUCCCCUCAAAAAAACAGCCGCAUUUUUAUGGCACUGACUAGUCACUAGUCGAGAUACUUUCUCAAAGUGGGAAAGGAAGUAGUGGUUUUUCCACCGCUAAAACAUAAAAAAUAGUUUCUGUGGGCGGUUAAUGACCACAAAAAAACUGUAAAAUUAGCAAAUUUUUUUGUGGCUAGGCAACCAAUAUUACACAUAAUUGCAAAAUUGAAUUAUUUUGCUAUUAAUCGCAAUUAUUAUUUAACUGAUUGCACUAAUAAUAAAGUAUACACAAAUUGAGUUGUUUAUUGACGUUUAAAAUGCAAAAUUACCUCAACCACACACACUCCAAGCCGCAGUUUGUUUUUACAUUCCCCUUAUCAAAUAUUGAUUUCUUGAACAGUUCAAAGAAAAGCAAAAACUUUAUUUAGACAGUCAAUGGUAAUCCCAGAUCAAAGUUACAAAUAAAAGGCGAUACUGGUCAAGACAGCAUUCUUGCAAAGUUCAUCGUUCAGUGCUGGGUCACUGUAUUAUCUCGAAAUGUUUGUGAAACUAGGUUUCUUCGUUUUGGCGGUUUUGAUUUUGCACUCGUCGGCAUCGCCACGGGUUCGAAGACAGGGGUUUUCGUGGGGCGAUGAGGACGGUAAUUUCUCUGGUAACGAGUUGAGACCAGGACCAAGACCUACAACACAAGCACCGAGACCCAGACCCACAACGCAGGCACCGAGACCAAGACCGACAACCAGGACUACGCAAGCUGGGGGUGGCACCACGACGACGACGCCGUCGCCAGCGUACAGUGCGUGCAUAAGGCAGUGCCCCACGACACCGCAAUACAACCCGAUUUGUGGAAAUAAUGGGGUUACUUAUCCUAAUGAGAGUCAUCUCAGCUGCGCCAAUCGCUGUGGCUUGAGCGUACAGAGGGCUUUCGGGGGCACCUGUCAGCCGCUUUAAGACUUUUAUGUGUUCAUUUUUUAUUAAUAAAGUAUUUUCUUAUCAUUGUAAUUGAGUUUGUAAAAUGGUUCAAUAAAAUGUUCUACCACAA